UGAGGAAUAUUGGUCAAUGGACGAAAGUCUGAACCAGCCAUGCCGCGUGCAGGAAGACUGCCCUACGGGUUGUAAACUGCUUUUAUGUGGGAAUAAACCCCUGGAUUCUUCCGGGGCUGAAGGUACCACACGAAUAAGGAUCGGCUAACUCCGUGCCAGCAGCCGCGGUAAUACGGAGGAUCCAAGCGUUAUCCGGAUUUAUUGGGUUUAAAGGGUCCGUAGGCGGGACAUUAAGUCAGUGGUGAAAGCCUUCAGCUUAACUGGAGAAUUGCCAUUGAUACUGAUGUUCUUGAGUACACCUGAAGUGGGCGGAAUGUGUCAUGUAGCGGUGAAAUGCAUAGAUAUGACACAGAACACCGAUUGCGAAGGCAGCUCACUAAAGUGUAACUGACGCUGAGGGACGAAAGCGUGGGGAGCGAACAGG
rnacentral:rRNA from 1 species